UCCUACGGGAGGCAGCAGUGGGGAAUUUUGGACAAUGGGGGCAACCCUGAUCCAGCAAUGCCGCGUGAGUGAAGAAGGCCUUCGGGUUGUAAAGCUCUUUUGUCAGGGAAGAAACGGUCCGGGCUAAUAUCCUGGGCUAAUGACGGUACCUGAAGAAUAAGCACCGGCUAACUACGUGCCAGCAGCCGCGGUAAUACGUAGGGUGCAAGCGUUAAUCGGAAUUACUGGGCGUAAAGCGUGCGCAGGCGGUUGUGCAAGACAGAUGUGAAAUCCCCGGGCUUAACCUGGGAAUUGCAUUUGUGACUGUACGGCUAGAGUGUGUCAGAGGGGGGUAGAAUUCCACGUGUAGCAGUGAAAUGCGUAGAGAUGUGGAGGAAUACCGAUGGCGAAGGCAGCCCCCUGGGAUAACACUGACGCUCAUGCACGAAAGCGUGGGGAGCAAACAGGAUUAGAUACCCUGGUAGUCCACGCCCUAAACGAUGUCAACUAGUUGUCGGGUCUUAAUUGACUUGGUGACGCAGCUA
rnacentral:rRNA from 1 species